AUACGUAGGGUGCGAGCGUUGUCCGGAAUUACUGGGCGUAAAGAGCUCGUAGGCGGUUUGUCGCGUCGUCCGUGAAAACUUGGGGCUCAACCCCAAGCUUGCGGGCGAUACGGGCAGACUUGAGUACUGCAGGGGAGACUGGAAUUCCUGGUGUAGCGGUGAAAUGCGCAGAUAUCAGGAGGAACACCGGUGGCGAAGGCGGGUCUCUGGGCAGUAACUGACGCUGAGGAGCGAAAGCGUGGGUAGCGAACAGGAUUAGAUACCCUGGUAGUCCACGCCGUAAACGGUGGGCGCUAGGUGUGGGUUUCCUUCCACGGGAUCCGUGCCGUAGCUAACGCAUUAAGCGCCCCGCCUGGGGAGUACGGCCGCAAGGCUAAA
rnacentral:rRNA from 1 species